UACAGAGGGUGCAAGCGUUGUUCGGAAUUAUUGGGCGUAAAGCGCGCGCAGGCGGUCCUUUUAAGUCUGAUGUGAAAGCCCACGGCUCAACCGUGGAGGGUCAUUGGAAAACUGGGGGGACUUGAGUACAGAAGAGAAGAGUGGAAUUCCACGUGUAGCGGUGAAAUGCGUAGAAGAUGUGGAGGAACACCAGUGGCGAAGG
rnacentral:rRNA from 1 species